UUUUAUUUGAGAGUUUGAUCCUGGCUCAGGAUGAACGCUGGCGGCGUGCCUAACACAUGCAAGUUGAGCGAUUUCCUUCGGUAAAGAGCGGCGGACGGGUGAGUAACGCGUGGGUAACCUACCCUGUACACACGGAUAACAUACCGAAAGGUAUGCUAAUACGGG
rnacentral:rRNA from 1 species